GGUAAUACGGAGGGUGCGAGCGUUGACCGGAAUUAUUGGGCGUAAAGAGCAUGUAGGCGGUUUGUCGCGUCUGCUGUGAAAAUCCGGGGCUCAACCCCGGACUUGCAGUGGGUACGGGCAGACUAGAGUGUGGUAGGGGAGACUGGAAUUCCUGGUGUAGCGGUGAAAUGCGCAGAGAUCAGGAGGAACACCGAUGGCGAAGGCAGGUCUCUGGGCCACUACUGACGCUGAGAAGCGAAAGCAUGGGGAGCGAACAGG
rnacentral:rRNA from 1 species